AGUCAUAAAAUAUGAGUUUUUGCUGAUUUUCAAUAGGUUUCAGUGUGGAUUGAAGAAGGCCUUUUACAAGUAAUGAUAUUUUUUAUCUGUUUUCCACCAACAGAAUCUGGACUUAGAGAUUACAGCCAAAUAUGACAUUGACAUGGAAGAAAGAAUGGAGAUGUACAGCCUCAACAUAAGUUCCAUCUGAAAAUGAGUGGAACUGGGUUCAAUGUGGAAUCCUCCUUUGAUUAUUCUGAAAUCAAGGACUAUGUAACAGGAAUUGACAGUUUUCUUGCCAAGUUUGUGAACUCGCGUGUUCUUGUCAUGAAAAUGAUCAGAUGUAUGAGUUUUUUCCUUUGCAAUAGGGAUAGCAGUGGUGAGCGAGAAUAUGUUCAUCUUCCUUUUGACUCAAAUUGUCAUUGAAAUGUCACUUGCAAGUAAAAGCAUUGUGAAUUUGAUGUCACGUUUAUUGGGAGUUUGUGAAGCAAUUCAUAUUCUUAUCAGAGCCCAUAAACCAAGCCUUUUUAGAGAGGGAGAAGAUGAAACUCCAGUGAUUUGAAAAGCUGGUCAUCACAUGUCAUGUUACCUGAUCAACUUAAUAUGAAUAACCUCCAGCAGAGGCAAACCUAAAUCUUUUUCCUAGCUAAUGUUAAGUUGACCAUUAUUGUUUAGUAUCUUUUCAGAGUAAGUUUACCUCUUAGAAGUGAUUACUAUGUAACUCUUCCACUUAACAUCCAAGCAUUACUCAGGAAACAGGGUAUGGCUCUACUCAAACUAUCAGGUGGAAGUUGUUAAACUGAUUCAACACUGAAUUCUUCUAACUAAGAUAGGAGAAUUAGCAAUCAGAUCAAUCAGAUCUUGGCAAUUGAAGGGUCAACAAAAAAAUAGUUCUUUCACCCUUCAAAUAUUUAAAUAGUGUUACUUGUUGAAUAACUUGAGUUGUUUUAUCUAGAUCCAUGUCUUUUUUCAUGUAGCAGUCAUCCACUUGGUUCCUAGAAAUGAGAAAUUAUGGAUAAGAAAAGUUGAUGAACAUGAAAGGAUCUCAACCUUCAACUACAUGAGUGACCCUGCAUCUGACAUCAUGUCUAAGAAGGAAAUUGAUCACAUCAACAGUUUUGUUGGUUAUCAUCGCACAGCACCAUGGCUCUUAAGUGUCCUUUGGCUUCUUUCAGAAUUGGCUGUGAAACGUUUUGUUUCAGAAUGCAACAGUGAACACCAACUUGAUUUCAAGACCAUUGUGCAAGUGAUCAUCCAAUGGACCAACAAAAUCUCAAUUAGUUACUGAGUUUUAUUUCAGGGUGUCAAGGCUGAAGACCCAAGAAGUCCAAACAAGACUUCUACUUUUUUUAAAAUUAAAACCGGUUUGUGUCCUUAGAAUUAACUGCAAAAUAGUUUUGUGCUACUUUUAUGUCAAUCUUCUGGCUGAAAACUAGUGUGUCAGUGCCUGGUAUCAUGAUAUAAUCAGUUAAUCAACAAAGUUCAUGUUGUGAAUUGGCCACAGUGGUUCCAUUAUCAACUCAGUUAGAAUUUUAAAGUGAUGUUGUAGAUAUGCUUUUGAUGAUUUCUUUUUCUUUUCAAAAGAAUUUUGUUUUACUUUAAGGAUAAUCUUGGUUGAAAACUAGGAAACAGAGAAUGUUUACAGGGGUUAAUUUUUAAGUGUAUGUACCUGUAAUUUAUUUUAAAAAAGUUGAUAAUGCGAGUUGGCCACAGUAGACCCACAAUCAACUCAGUUAUAAUGUGGGUGUUGUAGAUAGAUCUACAUAGGCUUUAAAUUGACCUUUUCUUCGUUAUCCUUUUUAUGCUCAAUAAAUGUAAACAUCACUCUUGUAUAUUUGUGUGAAUGUACUUGAAUCCUCUGCAGCAAGCACAUGAACCAAAGGUUUGGUGACACUUGAACUCUUUCUUCCCCACCAUCAGCAUUCGUAUUCUUCAACUUGUUCUCCUUUCUCUUCCUAUAAUGAUACUGACAAGAAAAGUUUUUACGAAAUUCAUGAGCUUUACAUUUGAUACAAGGGUGAUACUGUACAGAGAAACUAGAACCCAGGCUCUCUGACAGAUAAAAGGGUUCACCUGCCCACUUG
rnacentral:misc_RNA from 1 species